rnacentral:rRNA from 1 species
UACGUAGGUGGCAAGCGUUGUCCGGAUUUACUGGGCGUAAAGGGAGCGUAGGUGGAUUCUUAAGUGAGAUGUGAAAUACCCGGGCUUAACUUGGGUGCUGCAUUUCAAACUGGGAAUCUAGAGUGCAGGAGAGGAAAGUGGAAUUCCUAGUGUAGCGGUGAAAUGCGUAGAGAUUAGGAAGAACACCAGUGGCGAAGGCGACUUUCUGGACUGUAACUGACACUGAGGCUCGAAAGCGUGGGGAGCAAACAGG